AUGUGUUGUAAUUUCAAGCAUUGCUUCUGUUACAUGAUAAAACUAGUUAUUUAUAGAAUUGACGUAAGUGUAGGGUUCAUUGCUUCACCAAACUUGUGCAUACCUUCUUAUUUCCUCAAGUUAACCAAACUUUAUCUGCAUGCCUUUUAUUUCCCUUCUUCAAGUGUGGCCAUAGCUGUCGAGGAACUGACAUCUCUAAGGUGCACUAUUGCAUGCAACCUUCACAUGCCACAAGUGGCAUCAAUCUCAGUUAUGAAAAUAGGGUCCACAUGCUUAAAAGAUGCCCUCCUGCAACUGUUUGUGCCACUCAUCAUGUUAGCCAUUUUUGCUCUCUCCAUAAAUAUGGUCCACAGACUUAAAAUAUGUCCAAGAAGUUGUGGUUCAUCUUAG
rnacentral:rRNA from 1 species